CGUCAGCCAAACAACCACACUUCCCAUACAUAUCCAGCAGCGAGAAUAGUUUGGGUCUUGAUGAUGAUGCGAGCACGAGUCCAAUAGCUUCACGGAGACCGACGCAAGUUGAGGAGAGAGAGAGAGUUCAAAUGGAAACAACCCCGUUCCAUAAGCUCCGGAGAAUAACGUUUAAUGAGAAUGCUUUUCUCACACACACUCAC
rnacentral:lncRNA from 1 species